GAACUGAAGAGUUUGAUCCUGGCUCAGAUUGAACGCUGGCGGUAUGCUUAAGACAUGCAAGUCGAACGGAAUCUUCGGAUUCAGUGGCGGACGGGUGAGUAACACGUGGGAAUCUACUGAGUAGUGGGGGACAGCCCGGCGAAAGCCGGAUUAAUACCGCAUACGCCCUACGGGGGAAAGGCGCAAGCCGCUAUUUAAUGAGC
rnacentral:rRNA from 1 species